GGGAUGGUGUGACUAGUGACAGAGUGAGGAAGGGGGUGACUAGGGACAGAGGGGGUGACUAGUGACAGAGUGAGGGGGUGACUAGUGACAGUCACCCCUUCCCUCUCUCUGUCACUAGUCACUCCCUCCCUCUGUCACCAGUCACUCCCUCCCUCUGUCACCAGUCACCUCUUCCCUCUCUCACUUUGCCACUAGUCAUCUCUUCCCUCCC